rnacentral:rRNA from 1 species
CUAUACAUGCAAGUCGAGGGAGAUUGUUGGAUUCGUCUGACAUGGAACCGGCGCACGGGUGCGUAACACGUAUGCAACCUACCUUUAACUGGGGUAUAGCUCAGAGAAAUCUGAAUUAAUCCCCCAUAAGACUACGACAUGGCAUCAUGAUGUAGUUAAAGCUCCGGCGGUUAAGGAUGGGCAUGCGGUACAUUAGCUAGUUGGUGAGGUAAUGGCUCACCAAGGCUACGAUGUAUAGGGGGUCUGAGAGGAUGAUCCCCCACACUGGUACUGAGACACGGACCAGACUCCUACGGGAGGCAGCAGUAGGGAAUAUUGGUCAAUGGACGCAAGUCUGAACCAGCCAUGCCGCGUGAAGGAUGAAGGCCCUCUGGGUCGUAAACUUCUUUUAUUAGGGAAGAAAACAUGGGAUGCGUCCCAAACUGACGGUACUUAAUGAAUAAGGAUCGGCUAACUUCGUGCCAGCAGCCGCGGUAAGACGAAGGAUCCAAGCGUUGUCCGGAUUUACUGGGUUUAAAGGGUGCGUAGGCGGAAAAUUAAGUCAGUGGUGAAAGCCCGCAGCUCAACUGUGGAACUGCCAUUGAAACUGAUUUUCUUGAAUAUAGCUGAGGCAGAUGGAAUAUAACAUGUAGCGGUGAAAUGCUUAGAUAUGUUAUAGAACACCGAUUGCGAAGGCAGUCUGCUAAACUAUUAUUGACGCUGAGGCACGAAAGCGUGGGGAGCGAACAGGAUUAGAUACCCUGGUAGUCCACGCCCUAAACGUUGAUUACUCGCUGUUGGCGAUAUACUGUCAGUGGCUAAGCGAAAGCGUUAAGUAAUCCACCUGGGAAGUACGACCGCAAGGUUGAAACUCAAAGGAAUUGACGGGGGCCCGCACAAGCGGAGGAGCAUGUGGUUUAAUUCGAUGAUACGCGAGAAACCUUACCUGGGCUUAAAUGUCAGGUGACCGCU